AUAGAACAAAAGUAACUGCUAGUUUGUAUUAGGACACCUACUACUAUAGGCUUCUGAUAUAGAUAUUACAUGAUCAUGUUGAAAAUCGCUUUGAUUUUCCUUUUGUCCUGCGUUUAUUGUCGAGCCGGGAAGCCAGGAUGCUUAAAAAACCACCUGAUAAAAGAGAUUGAGAGAAACUUGAAGGAUCUACAAUCAAUGCAUGUUCACAACGGUGAAAACCUAGGCGAAACGUACAUUAGAUGGGGGAAAACAACAUGUCCAGAUGAGUCUUAUCAUGUUUAUGAUGGAUAUGCUGCUGGAAAACACCACAACAUUGGUGGGUCUGGUUCAAAUCUUCUAUGUUUACCAAAGAAUCCAGAAUGGAAAGAUUAUAAAGACGGGGAAAACACGUGGACAGGUAAACUAUAUGGUAUCGAAUAUGAAAUCGUUCAGAACAAGCCAUAUCCAAAGACUUUUCACGAUAAAGAUAUGCCCUGUGCCGUAUGCCAGUCUAAAAAAUCAAUAGUUUUAAUGGUACCAGGUAAACUAACAUGUUAUGACGGAUGGCACAAGGAAUUUUCUGGAUAUCUUAUGUCGCAGUCAAGUACCAAUGGUCGUACUCCAUCAGAAUACAUCUGUGUUGACGAGAAGUUGGAAUCUGUGCCCGGUGGAGAUUCAAGUCGCAAUGAGGCUGUCGUGUAUCCAGUGGAAUCUGUUUGUGGAAGUUUGAAAUGUCCACCGUACGUUAAUGGAAGAGAGCUUACUUGUGUUGUAUGUUCCAAGUGAAAUACAAAGUAUAAUCUGAAAUAAAAUAUGUAAACACAA